rnacentral:rRNA from 1 species
AACGAACGCUGGCGGCAUGCCUAACACAUGCAAGUCGAACGAGACCUUCGGGUCUAGUGGCGCACGGGUGCGUAACGCGUGGGAACCUGCCCUUAGGUUCGGAAUAACUCCCCGAAAGGGGUGCUAAUACCGGAUAAUGUCUUCGGACCAAAGAUUUAUCGCCUUUGGAUGGGCCCGCGUUGGAUUAGCUAGUUGGUAGGGUAAAAGCCUACCAAGGCGACGAUCCAUAGCUGGUCUGAGAGGAUGAUCAGCCACACUGGGACUGAGACACGGCCCAGACUCGUACGGGAGGCAGCAGUGGAGAAUAUUGGACAAGGGGCGCAGGCCUGAUCCAGCAAUGCCGCGGGAGUGAUGAAGGCCUUAGGGUUGUAAAGCUCUUUUACCCGGGAUGAUAAUGACAGUACCGGGAGAAUAAGCUCCGGCUAACUCCGUG